rnacentral:rRNA from 1 species
AGAGUUUGAUCCUGGCUCAGAACGGACGCUGGCGGCGUGCUUAACACAUGCAAGUCGAACGUGAAAGUGGCUUCGGCCAUGAGUAAAGUGGCAGACGGGUGAGUAACACGUGGGUAACCUAUCCCUUGGCGGGGAAUAACCACUCGAAAGGGUGGCUAAUACCGCAUAAGACCACGUCCCUGAUGGGAUGAGGUAAAAGAUUUAUCACCAGGGGAGGGGCCCGCGGCAGAUUAGCUAGUUGGUGAGGUAAUGGCUCACCAAGGCAACGAUCUGUAGCUGGUCCGAGAGGAUGAUCAGCCACACUGGUACUUAGAUACGGACCAGACUCCUACGGGAGGCAGCAGUGGGGAAUAUUGCGCAAUGGACGAAAGUCUGACGCAGCAACGCCGCGUGGGUGAUGAAGGUCUUCGGAUCGUAAAACCCUGUCGUCGGGGACGAAGGUAAUUCGGUUAACAACUGAGUUGCUUGACGGUACCCGGAGAGGAAGCCCCGGCUAACUCUGUGCCAGCAGCCGCGGUAAUACAGAGGGGGCAAGCGUUAUUCGGAAUUAUUGGGCGUAAAGGGCGCGUAGGCGGUUUUUUAAGUCAGAUGUGUAAUCCCCGAGCUCAACUUGGGAACUGCAUCUGAGACUGGAAGGCUAGAGUACUGGAGAGGGUGGUAGAAUUCCACGUGUAGCGGUGAAAUGCGUAGAGAUGUGGAGGAAUACCAGUGGCGAAGGCGGCCACCUGGACAGUAACUGACGCUGAGGCGCGAAAGUGUGGGUAGCAAACAGGAUUAGAUACCCUGGUAGUCC